CCGAGUACCGGUGCCCUCUGGGUGCCUACUCCCACCAAUUGUGAACCUUUUUCGUUGCCUCGGCGGACCGAUGGUACCCCCAUCCCCCGGCGCAAGCUGGGGAGCGUCCGCCAGAGGAUUUUCAAACCCGUUUUAACUUGCGAUCUGAGUAAAAACAAAUAAAAACA
rnacentral:misc_RNA from 1 species